rnacentral:rRNA from 1 species
GAUGAACGUUGGCGGUGUGCCUAAUACAUGCAAGUCGAACGGAGACUGUAGCAAUACUGUCUUAGUGGCGAACGGGUGAGUAACGCGUUGGUGAUCUGCCUCGAAGUGUGGAAUAACCUCCCGAAAGGGAAGCUAAUACCGCAUAGUCUCUCAAGGUUUAGAAAAUUGAGAGUAAAGGAUUUAUUCGCUUCGAGAGGAGCCUGCGUCCCAUCAGCUAGUUGGUAGGGUAACGGCCUACCAAGGCAAUGACGGGUAGGGGACCUGAGAGGAAGGCCCCCCACACUGGGACUGAGACACGGCCCAGACUCCUACGGGAGGCAGCAGUGAGGAAUAUUGGACAAUGGAUGGAAAUCUGAUCCAGCCAUGCCGCGUGCAGGAAGACAGCCCUAUGGGUUGUAAACUGCUUUUAUAUGGGAGCAAUAAGGUCUACGUGUAGACUGAUGAGAGUACCAUAUGAAUAAGCAUCGGCUAACUCCGUGCCAGCAGCCG